ACGAAGGAACUGAAGGAAAUCCACAUUAGGCAGGAAAUGGUGUUGGGUGGGUAGACUGACCGGAUAGGGGUACGAGAAAAGUGGAGGGGAGGAGAGGAGACAAAAACACCAGGUACAUGGUUAGUUUUACCGUUAAAUCUAUAUUACUAAAACUCUGUUCUUGACCGCUUUUGGCGAUCUGUGGUGCGAUUUCCGAGAGAACGCCGCCACCUACGGCCAUCAUUUUUGGCCACCUCGCUUAGAGCCCCCCUCUGCCGCAUUUUACCCGUCGAUGAAAUAUGAUCGAGAUAUUAAUGUUUUUACAGCAUUCCCCAUUCUCUCUGCUGCCCCCGUUGGCAGCAGGGGGAGGGAGGGACUAUAAAACCAGGAAGUGUCCUGCUUCAAUCACUUUCUUCCGGACCACGAAGUGAAAAGGUCACGGCUCUCUGAGCUGCGGAUCUACUCUAAGGUGAGUCCCCUGCAUAUGCUUUUUCAGCCAAUUGGUCUGUUGUUCACCAUUCACCAUGGUCUGAAGUUUCUUGGCAAAUUUGUAUUGAAAAUAAAAAGCAUUUGCAAAUUUGUCUAUCUAUAUUGUCUUUGAAAUGUGUAUUGAACAUGAAAUGCAUUUGUAUACCCGUCUUCAGGUGACUAAAGCAUGAUGUCCGUAUUGUCUUUGAAAUGUUUAUGUAAAUUGAAAUGCACCUGUUGCAACGUUUUCACGCGGAAUAAAGCUUUUUAUUUGGACCAGAACUGUGUUUACAUUUAAAAUUGGCGCUCAUUUUGUGAUUUUGGCGGUUGCAAGAUGGCGGCGAUGACGUCGUUUCUGAUGAUCGGUAAGCCGGUGGCGAUGACGUCAUUUCCGGUCGGAGGCAAGAUGGCGGCGAUGAAGUCAUUUCCGGUCGGAGGCAAGAUGGCGCUGCCUGCUGAAGGCGGAGUGCACGAGGUCUUGAAUAAUUCUACAGAACUGGUAAAUGUUGUGUGUUUGUUGCAGCAAAAGCUGUAUUGUGUUUCAGCAAAAGCUGCAUUGUCUUUCAGCAAAAGCUGCAUUGUCUUUCAGCCACAGACUACAACAGGAUUUGAAGAUUCGUUCAAAUAUUCGGCUGCUUUCUAUAUGGAUUGAAUGAACCAAAGCCAGAAUCCAUGACAAAUUGGAGCAGAAGGCAUCAAACCCAAAGCAGCACUGUGGCAGAUGUGGCACUCUUUUUCCCUAAGGAGUCAGAAUCUUUCGGCCUCCUUUUAAGAAUGAAAAUGGCAAGAAUACCGAAGGAAAUCCUGUCAUAAAGGUAAGAACAGAACUUAGUCAAAGUCAAAGUCAAAGUCAAAGUAACUUUAUUGUCAAUUCAAUUAUGCAACAGUAGUUACACAUAGGAUCGAAAUUACGUUUCCCCAUACUCCAAAUGUGCAAGUAAUAUUAAAAACACAGACAGACAACAUAUCAAUAAAAAUAGACAAUAGACAUACAUUAUUUAAAAUAUUAAAAUAUUCACAGUAUGCCAAAAUGUAGCACAACCUUUGAGGUAUUUUAAACAGGGUGCAACAAUGAAAGGUGCAAUAUAGAAAAAGUGCAAAUUCCGUACUGGAGACAUUGAGCCAAAGUUAUUUUCACAGUUUGUUUGUCUUUGUUUGGGUACUGUUCAUGGAAUUUUCUUAAGUGUGUUGAGUAGUCUGAUGGCCUGAGAGAAAAAGCUGUUUUUGAAUCUGGUGGUUUUGCUCCGCAUGCUGCAGUAGCGCUUACCGGAAGGUAGGAGGGUGAACAGUUUGUGUGCAGGGUAUGUGGUGUCUUUGAUGAUAUUCCCAGGAUUAUUCCCAGGAUAAAGGACAAGUGAGAAUACGCUUUUAUGAAUCAACUGAGUGGGUCUACAUUAGCAUUUUAUUUUCUACCGGAUCGAAAUUACUGCUUUUUAGAAAACUCUUCAUCGCUGCUGUUGGAGGCAGGAUCUAAUGUGGUACCUUCACGCCCACGUUGGUUCUGCAUGCAGCCUAUCUCACCGCUGGCGACUCGCCAACAGCCUCACGAAAAGGUCCAGCCACAAGAGGUCAAUAACAACUCCAAGGUCACAGGCAGUAAUAGGCCUUAUAUACCCACUGGUUAUGAAUGUUGAGAGUGUAUGUAAAGGGGCUUCUGGAAUAAUAAUAAUAAUAAUAAUAAUGUUUAUUUAUAUAGCACUUUUCAACAAAACCAGUAUUUGAACCAAAGUGCUUUACAGAGAUUGAUUAAAUUAAUUGAACAGAUCAAUGCAAUAAAUCCAUACAAAUCAAAAAAAGAGAAAAAGAAAAAAGACACAGACACAGUACACUAUAGAAAUCAACAUGAAACGUCCCCCUACAGCAGAAUUCACUGUGAGGGAAGGCACUAAAAAUAUCCAGUUCUCCCCCUCAUAGUCCACCCGAUGUCGGGGCCUAUAUCUGGCCUCCUCAGCCAACCCGAUGUUUUCAGGCCCUCUUGCCGCGAAGCUGGAUCAUCGGCGUCGGGUGAACAUCCUUCAGCGGCUCGGACUGAAGCGGCCGCUUCCCCCCCGAAGACUGCAACGACCAAAGUUCACAGGCCGCGCCAGCCGAACCUCCGACUCUGGCGAUCUCGGAUCCCAGGCUCCGCGGUGCUGUCGGCGGUCACAGUGCCCCGGA